rnacentral:rRNA from 1 species
CGGCGAGUGAAGCGGUAACAGCUCAAAUUUGAAAGCUAGCUCUUUUAGGGUUCGCAUUGUAAUUUGUAGAAGAUGCUUCGGGUGUGGCCCCGGUCUAAGUUCCUUGGAACAGGACGUCAUAGAGGGUGAGAAUCCCGUAUGUGACUGGGUGCUUUCGCUCAUGUGAAGCUCUUUCGACGAGUCGAGUUGUUUGGGAAUGCAGCUCAAAAUGGGUGGUAAAUUUCAUCUAAAGCUAAAUAUUGGCCAGAGACCGAUAGCGCACAAGUAGAGUGAUCGAAAGAUGAAAAGCACUUUGGAAAGAGAGUUAAACAGUACGUGAAAUUGUUGAAAGGGAAGCGCUUGCAACCAGACUUGCGCGCUGAUGAUCAUCCGGGCUUCUGUCCGGUGCACUCGUCUGCGCUCAGGCCAGCAUCGGUUUCGGUGGUGGGAUAAAGGCCUUGGGAAUGUAGCUCCUCUCGGGGAGUGUUAUAGCCCUCGGUGCAAUGCCGCCUAUCGGGACCGAGGACCGCGCUUCGGCUAGGAUGCUGGCGUAAUGGUUGUAAGCGACCCGUCUUGAAACACGGACCAAGGAGUCUAACAUCUAUGCGAGUGUUUGGGUGUCAAACCCAUACGCGUAAUGAAAGUGAACGGAGGUGAGAACCCUUAAGGGUGCAUCAUCGACCGGUCCUGAUGUCUUCGGAUGGAUCUGAGUAAGAGCAUAGCUGUUGGGACCCGAAAGAUGGUGAACUAUGCGUGAAUAGGGUGAAGCCAGAGGAAACUCUGGUGGAGGCUCGCAGCGGUUCUGACGUGCAAAUCGAUCG